GUGGGGAAUAUUGGACAAUGGGGGGAACCCUGAUCCAGCCAUGCCGCGUGUGUGAAGAAGGCCUUUUGGUUGUAAAGCACUUUAAGCGAGGAGGAGGCUACCGAGAUUAAUACUCUUGGAUAGUGGACGUUACUCGCAGAAUAAGCACCAGCUAACUCUGUGCCAGCAGCCGCGGUAAUACAGAGGGUGCAAGCGUUAAUCGGAUUUACUGGGCGUAAAGCGCGCGUAGGUGGCCAAUUAAGUCAAAUGUGAAAGCCCCGAGCUUAACUUGGGAAUUGCAUUCGAUACUGGUUGGCUAGAGUAUGGGAGAGGAUGGUAGAAUUCCAGGUGUAGCGGUGAAAUGCGUAGAGAUCUGGAGGAAUACCGAUGGCGAAGGCAGCCAUCUGGCCUAAUACUGACACUGAGGUGCGAAAGCAUGGGGAGCAAACAGGAUUAGAAACCCGAGUAGUCC
rnacentral:rRNA from 1 species